AUGGCCGGACUGUUUGCCACUCUUGCCAUCAGGAAGGCACUGGACAAGCUCUCCUCCAUCCUGCCAGCAAUAAGCCUAUUGGCAUCCUCCUCGUCGGCAGCUGCUAUGGUGAGGCAAGGGCAUGAGCAAGAUCUGGAGGACCUCCGGAUGCUGGAGCGGACGAUGCACAGGAUCCACGCGACUCUGAAGGACGCGGAGCAGCACUGGGACAUCCGUGAUGAAAGCGCCAAGCUGUGGCUCAAGGAGCUCAAGGAGCUAGCGUAUGACGCGGAGGACUUGGUGGACGAGUACGAGUACGAGCUCCAGGUGAACCGUUGCAAGGCUGAGGCUCUCCAGCCAUCUGCAAGCGUGGCCAGCCACAAGCGUAAGUGGCAACAGGAACAGGAAAAUGAGGUCUUGUACCAUAAUACUGGUAUGGCACAUGUUCCAGAAGAGCUGGCUCUUAAAGCAAGGAAACUUAUUAAGAGAUUCCAUGAAAUCCAAUAUUAUUCUGAUAAUUUUACUUUAUCGGAGAAUGAUGGAGAGAGACGGUUUGCUCCUAAUAUUGGUACUCUACCCAAGACUAGCUCUAUUAUAUAUGCACCGAAAAUUAUUGGAAGAGAGCAAGACAAGGACAACAUUGUACAAAAGUUGUUGUCCAUGACGAGUGACAGUGUAGCUACUCCAGUUUCUAUCUUGGCUAUUGUCGGUAUGGGUGGAUUAGGCAAGACAACAUUAGCACAGCUUGUAUAUAACGACUCAAGGAUACAAGGGUUUUUUGACAUGCAUGCAUGGGUUUGUGUGUCAGAGCAAUUUGAUCCUACUUACAUAACAAAGAGCAUCAUAAGUUCAUUAAAGAAGGAUUAUUCUGAUCUAUCGGAAGUUUGUAGUCCUCAUGAGACAUUGGCAAAACGAAUAAAGCAAAAGAUGCAAGUUGCUUUUACUGUUGACAAUGGAAACACUCCAAACCUUCAAGAGAUCGGAAUGUCUAUUGUUAAAAAGUGUAAGGGCUUACCUUUAGCAAUUAAGACACUAGCCAGCAUGUUGCGCUAUGAAACAUGUGAACAGAGAUGGAAAGAUGUCAUAGAAAGCGAGUUGUGGGACUUGGAGCAACCAAGGAAUGAGGUUUUGCCAUCCUUGGAGUUGAGCUACAAGAACAUGCCUAUAUACCUAAAACGAUGUUUUGUUGCCAUCUCUCUAUAUCCAAAAGACUAUAUAUUCUAUAGAAACCAGGUGCUUCAAUUGUGGAAAGUACUAGACCUCCUUCAAAGUGACAGACAUAAUAAUGAGACUGAAAUUGGAAAUAGAUAUCUCGAUGAAUUGGUUGAGCGGUCAUUUCUUCUAUUUCUUCUAACAAAGGUUGAUGGACAUUACUACAAGAAAUACUUAAUGCAUGAUCUUAUUCACGAUCUUGCAUGCUUUCUUUCUGCAGAUGAGUUCUUUAGACUUGAUGAUAGCAGUACAUCCAUUGAAAUUCCACAAAAUGCUCGGUACAUAUCUAUCCAAAAUUUGGCAUCCAGUGAGAUUUCAAUCACACCACUUGCUUUGAGGGCCAUCAUAGUGUUGCCUAGAGCAGAAGUGAACAUUAAUAAUUCAGAAGCAUUAUUUUCUAACUGUGAAAAGUUACGAGCCCUCGUGUUAGGUGAAGGCUGUCUGGAUCAAAACUUACCUGCCUUAAUGGGAAGGUUGAAAUUACUACGCCAUUUGAAACUUGUCACAAGCUUCUUUAGUCACUCUGAUCCAUGCUGGGACCACGUUGAUGGACUACGUGGAAUUGGGCACCUAAAUAACAUGCUUACUUUGCCUCCAAUUCAUCUGAGAAAUGAUCGAAUAAUAGAGCUAAGGAGCUUGAACAAGCUAAGGGAGUUGAGAAUAGGUGGGUUGGGACUGCACUUGACUAUCGAUGGAGCAAAGGAUGCUAGGCUACAGAGCAAAAGGCACCUACAAUUACUAAGCUUGGAUUUUGGAGAUUGCUGUCCAGAUCACAACCAACAAGUGCAGCUACUUGAGAGCCUGCGACCACAUCGCAACCUCAGAGAAUUGAUAAUAAUGAACUACGAGGGUCUGAAGUAUCCCUAUUGGUUGGGCGAUGCUUCCUUUUCCAACUUGACUCAAAUAGAACUCGGUUAUUCUCACAUUCAGUACCUUCCAACGCUCGGUGAUCUUCCGUCCCUCGUGUCCCUCCAUAUCCAUGACAUGAUGAUUGUCGAGCGAAUUGGCUGGGAGUUUUGCAGCCAUUUUCAUGGUGUUAAGGGAUUCCCAUCAUUGACACAGUUGAGAUUCAAUUGGAUGCAUAAGUGGUCAGAAUGGUCUGGAAUUGUUGACGGUGGAUUUCCACGCCUGCGCACUCUUUCGAUCUGCCAUGCCCACAGUCUAAGGCUUGAUAACAUUGAAUCAUUUCCGUUCAGAUCCUUGAUAACUCUCGAACUGGACAAAUGCUGCUGCAUCACAACCAUUCCUGCAUCGACUUCACUACGCACGCUGCGCAUUGAUCGGCGGAGCUUUGACUUGCGCAGAAGCUCAACUGAUGGUCCGCGGCUGAAUCGCCUCCCGUCCUUGGAGUGUUUAACAGUCAUCUGCCAUGACACCACAAGCAUCCUUCUUCAGCCACAGCACCUGCCUUCACUCAAGAAGCUCAACUUGAGCUGCGAAAAACUGCAGUACUGCGAUGGACUUUCAGGCCUCACUUCCCUCUCGGUGCUCAAGCCUUGGGGAUGCCCAAAGCUCCCAAUUCAUAGUUUGAUCCCACAGCUGCAGCUACAGACUCUGGAUGUUCGUUGCUCACCAGGAAUCGAGUGGGCUGCCAAUGGGCCUGUACAACCAUUCAUUCAAGCUGGCCCAAGCAAACCCAAGUUUGGUGAUUUGGUUGCUAACAAUACGGUAUCAGAGCCGCUGAUCCAUGGGAUUUCAAGCAUGGAGGCAACGGGGAAGUACCGCUGCGGCGUCCCGUGCAGUUGGUCAUUGGAUUUGGGCAAGGCUACUGCUCAUGGCACCAACGCCCACAACCUGUUCGGUGAAAUGUCAAGCCAAGGAGAGGUGUCCCAAGAAGAUCUCAAGAUAUCUAAGGCCGUCCCCAUCAAUUCCCCCAUGAACAAAGAGGAGAAAAUGAUGGAUGAAGCUCUGGAUCAGAUAUUGGAGAAGCUUGAACAAAUGAAGACCAAGCGUAGGUGCAAUGAGAAGAUUGAUCAGAUUUUGGAGAAGUUGGACGAGAUAGAAGCUAAUAGGCGCAAAUCAUUCGAGGAGACAACUAACAUCAUCAAGGCGACAACCUCCAUCUUCAAUUCUGCAUCAUCUUCAACACCCCCGACCUCGCCUACUCCAGUGCUCGCCAAGUGUUCGUGGGCGUGUUCCAACAGUGCCAGUGCGUACACGACAACAAGUGCAAGCCACAACAUCGAUGUUCCUACUCCGACAGUCGCCAUGGGCUUGCAGGUGAGUUUGAACCAUGGCAUUGGUACUACAACAGUGACGCCCACCAAGUGCUUGGUAAAUUGCUUCGACAAUGACACCGGUGUGAAUCAUGCCAUUCUUGAGGAGUCGUUUGCUAGUACCACUGCUGCAGCCACCAUGGAGACAGUGGUUAGCGAGGACAAGGCCUGCUCUAUUUUCAUCAAUACUACUGACCUCACCAAGGUUAUGCAUUCAAGGUGUACGACAAUCAGCCUCAAAGACAACAUCGGUACUAUUCAGGCCGAGGUUGCAUUCCCCUUUCCGUUUCACACACUGAACAUGAUUGCAGCACCAAAGGAGCCCAUGCUAGUCAUAGCAGAAAAGUUGGAUUCCAUUUUCUGCAUAAAAUUGGUGAUGCCCAACGGGUGUUUGAUGAAAUGCCUCAAAAGUGACAAGAGGCUGCUGGCGGGGCUUCCCAAGAGAAAACCUUGGCCACUUCCUUGGUCAGGUGGUGUGGUUAGAGGAGGGAAUGUGUGGCAUGUUCCAUGGUCUGCAUUUGAUUCCGUUUGGACAAGUGUAUGUCUAAUACCACCAUGGCCACCGCCAAUUAGACUUAAGCAAUGCAGGUCCUGGAAAAUUGGAGUGGCAAUUAGUCUGUUUGCUUGGAAGGCACAGUGGGAUUUCGUUAGUUACAGGAGCUGCACCGUUGUUGAAAUUUCUAGAAUGCAUGAGCUUGCCUUGUUGGUGCUAUUAACUCAAGACCCAAGUGAUGAUAAAAGAGAUGACUUGCUACCGGCAUCCAAAAAUCCAUUCACCUCCUAUAUGAUGGCACAAUAUUUUGAGGUUAUUGAAAGCAGGCUUAUUAGUGAUAUAAGCCACUUGGAUGGCAACAAUGUUCAGGAUACUUGGGACUGCAAGGGAAUUCUAGUUAUACUAGAAGAUGGUACCAGCAAAUGGAGAAUGCAAGGGAUCAAGCCAAGUGCAAGCAAGAAUAUAAUUUCAGCAUGGAAGAAUGUUUUUAUUCCAACCAUCAAAUCAGUCUUGGAAGGUGACAAGCAAUUCUGCAUUUACAAGCCAAAUAUUAGCACUUAUUUGCUAUGUCAUGUUGCUAUGCCAACUAUUCUUGGAAGGCUGAAAACAAGAGGCACAAUUGUUAAGCUUGUG
rnacentral:lncRNA from 1 species